rnacentral:rRNA from 1 species
AACGAACGCUGGCGGCGUGCUUAACACAUGCAAGUCGAACGCGAAAGGGAUUUCGAUCCUGAGUAGAGUGGCGCACGGGUGAGUAACGCGUAAGUUAUCUACCCCUCCAUCUGGAAUAACUCACCGAAAGGUAGUGCUAAUAACCGGAGUACGUUGGAAACAAGAAAGGUGGCCUCUUCUAUGCUACCGUGGAGGGAUGAGCUUGCGUACCAUUAGCUAGUUGGUAGGGUAAUGGCCUACCAAGGCAACGAUGGUUAGCGGGUCGUGAGAGGAUGAUCCGCCGACACUGGAACGUGGAACACGGACCAGACUCCUACGGGAGGCAGCAGUGAGGAAUAUUGCGCAAUGGGGGGAAACCCUGACGCAGCGACGCCGCGUGGAUGAUGAAGGCCUUUGGGUCGUAAAAUCCUGUCAGAUGGAAAGAAAUGUACAUGUGCUAAU